UGGUUCUCAAAGUGUGGUCCCUGGACCAGCAGCUCCAGCAUGCCCUGGAGAUUGGUUAGAAAUGCAAAUCUUGUCUUCACCCUAUCUGGAAUUCUGUGGUGGAACAGUCCAGAACACUCUGACAGAAACUCUGGGGCUAAGACUCUGGCAUCUGUGAGCUAACAACCCCUCCAGAGAAUUCUCAAGUUUGGGAACUUCCGCUUAUAGUUUUCUAGAAUUAGAUGUGGUUGGGUUUAUUACUGCUUGUCACUGAAACAGACCUAAUAACCAAAACACUGACCCUUCAAGGGACCAGAAGAACACCUCUGGAGAUUCCCCAGGAGUUUUAGUGAGAACGAGCGUACAAGCAGGGAGAGCAGCAGAGAGAGGGAGAAGUAGGCUCCCCAAUGAGCAGGAAGCCUGAUGGGAGGCUAGAUCGCAGGACCCUAGGAUCACAACUCAAGCUGAAGGCAGACGCUUACCCAACUGAGCCACCCAGGAGCCCUGAGAGUCUUGUCUUCUUGCUCAAUGCUCAGAGUGGAUUCCCCCAGCAACAGACUCGGAGACUCAGGGAUAAGCAGUAUAUUGGGGAAGUGAUCACAAAAUACACCUGUUGGGGCAUAGGGAGAAGCCAGCAGAAGAGAAAGACAACUGAGCCUGAACUCCAGGAUCCACACAGCAGCUACGGGGGCAUGAGCGACAAUGAGACCAAAGUGAAGUGCAGAAGGAAGGCACCUGUGCUCUCCCAGGCAGACGGAAGACUGGCACACAGCAAGACAGAGCCUCAUGAAGCAAGAGGAGCUUAACACACUGUAGAAAUCACAGUCACUCUGAAGGGAAACCCUUCAACUCUGAAGCAGUUUCUCCCCCUUCCUCCCUGCACACUGGCACACACCAGUCUGCAUUCCGUCUCUCUGGAUUUAUCUAGUCUGGAUAUUCCACAUAAAUGGACUCAUAGGACACGUGACC
rnacentral:lncRNA from 1 species